rnacentral:rRNA from 1 species
GAUGAACGCUGGCGGCGUGCCUAAUACAUGCAAGUCGAGUGAACGGACGAGAAGCUUGCUUCUCUGAUGUUAGCGGCGGACGGGUGAGUAACACGUGGAUAACCCACCUAUAAGACUGGGAUAACUUCGGGAAACCGGAGCUAAUACCGGAUAAUAUUUUGAACCGCAUGGUUCAAAAGUGAAAGACGGUCUUGCUGUCACUUAUAGAUGGAUCCGCGCUGCAUUAGCUAGUUGGUAAGGUAACGGCUUACCAAGGCAACGAUGCAUAGCCGACCUGAGAGGGUGAUCGGCCACACUGGAACUGAGACACGGUCCAGACUCCUACGGGAGGCAGCAGUAGGGAAUCUUCCGCAAUGGGCGAAAGCCUGACGGAGCAACGCCGCGUGAGUGAUGAAGGUCUUCGGAUCGUAAAACUCUGUUAUUAGGGAAGAACAUAUGUGUAAGUAACUGUGCACAUCUUGACGGUACCUAGUCAGAAAGCCACGGCUAACUACGUG